rnacentral:rRNA from 1 species
GACGAACGCUGGCGGCGUGCUUAACACAUGCAAGUCGAACGGAAAGGCUCUGCUUGCAGGGUACUCGAGAGGGGAACGCGUGAGUAACACGCGGGGGAUCCGCCCUCCACAUCGGGGUAAGCCUGGGCAACAGGGUCUAUUAUCCGACAGGUGCCCGGCUUAGCGUGACGGCUGGAAAGGUCUUUGGGUGUAGGGUGAGCUCGCGGCCUAUCAGCUUGUUGGUGGGGUAAUGGCCUACCAAGGCGGCGACGGGUAGCCGUCCUGGGAGGGUGGACGGCCACAGUGGGACUGGGAUACGGCACAGCCCCCUACGGGACGCGGCGGUGGAGAAUGUUGCUCAAUGGGAGGGAGCCUGAUGCGGCGACGCCGCGUCGGGGAUGACGGCCUUCGGGUUGGAAACUACUUUCCCUAGCGACGAAACUUUUUGUGACGGUACCUAGAUAAGAAGCACCGGCUAACUACGUG